rnacentral:tRNA from 1 species
GCGGACGUGGCGGAAUGGCAGACGCUACGGUCUUAAACACCGUUGGGGCAACCCGUGCGGGUUCGAAUCCCGCCGUCCGCACCA